rnacentral:tRNA from 1 species
GGGGUGGUGGCUUAGUGGUAGAGCAUUUGCCUAGUAUGUGUGAGACACUGGGUUUGAUUCUCAGCACCUCA